AGGAUAAACGCUGGCGGUGUGCCUAAUACAUGCAAGUCGUGCGGCAGCACGGGCUUCGGCCUGGUGGCGAGCGGCGGGACGGCUGAGUAACGCGUAGGAACGUACCCCAAAGUGAGGGAUAACUGCCCGAAAGGGUAGCUAAUACCGCAUAUGGUCUUCGGAUUAAAGCUUUUAGCGCUUUGGGAACGGCCUGCGUUCGAUUAGUUUGUUGGUGAGGUAAUGGCUUACCAAGACGAUGAUCGAUAGCUGGUCUGAGAGGAUGAUCAGCCAGACUGGGACUGAGACACGGCCCAGACUCCUACGGGAGGCAGCAGUAGGGAAUUUUCCACAAUGGGCGAAAGCCUGAUGGAGCAACACCGCGUGCAGGAUGAAGGCUUUCGGGUCGCAAACUGCUUUUCUAUGUGAGGAUUAUGACAGUAGCAGAGGAAUAAGGAUCGGCUAACUCCGUGCCAGCAGCCGCGGUAA
rnacentral:rRNA from 1 species